AGCGAACGCUGGCGGCAGGCUUAACACAUGCAAGUCGAACGCAUCCUUCGGGGUGAGUGGCAGACGGGUGAGUAACGCGUGGGAACGUACCCUUUGGUUUGGAAUAACCCAGGGAAACUUGGGCUAAUACCGGAUAAGUCCCUUACGGGAGAAAGAUUUAUCGCCGAAGGAUCGGCCCGCGUCCGAUUAGCUAGUUGGUGAGGUAAUGGCUCACCAAGGCGACGAUCGGUAGCUGGUCUGAGAGGAUGAUCAGCCACACUGGGACUGAGACACGGCCCAGACUCCUACGGGAGGCAGCAGUGGGGAAUAUUGGACAAUGGGGGCAACCCUGAUCCAGCCAUGCCGCGUGAGUGAUGAAGGCCCUAGGGUUGUAAAGCUCUUUCGGCGGGGACGAUAAUGACGGUACCCGCAGAAGAAGCCCCGGCUAACUUCGUGCCAGCCGCCGCAGUAACAC
rnacentral:rRNA from 1 species